AGCAGCCGCGGUAAUUCCAGCUCCAAUAGCGUAUAUUAAAGUUGUUGCAGUUAAAAAGCUCGUAGUUGAAUUUCGGGGUUAGUAGGCUGGUCGUGCCACUGGUACGUACUGGUCUCACUGAUUCCUCCUUCCUGAUGAACUGUAAUGCCAUUAAUUUGGUGUUGCAGGGAAACUGGACUGUUACUUUGAAAAAAUUGGAGUGUUUAAAGCAAGCUAACGCUUGAAUACAUUAGCAUGGAAUAAUGAAAUAGGACGUUCGAUCCUAUUUUGUUGGUUUCUAUGAUUGACGUAAUGAUUAAUAGGGAUAGUUGGGGGCAUUAGUAUUCAAUUGUCAGAGGUGAAAUUCUUGGAUUUAUUGAAGACUAACUACUGCGAGAGCAUUUGCCAAGGAUGUUUUCAUUAAUCAAGAACGAAAGUUAGGGGAUCGAAGACGAUCAGAUACCGUCGUAGUCUUAACCAUAAACUAUGCCGACUAGGGAUCGGAUGAUGUUAAUUUUUUAAUGACUCGUUUGGCACCUUA
rnacentral:rRNA from 1 species